GCUUUUGUAGCUUAAUGGUAGAGCAUUCGCUUGAAGCGCGAUGUGUGUAAGUUCAAUUCUUUCCAAAGGCA
rnacentral:tRNA from 2 species